rnacentral:rRNA from 1 species
CUUGCAGUCAACGAUGCCAACAGUGUGGUGGAAUUUCCAUUGCGCAAGCGAAAGCUAGUUUGUAGGCUCCGGGGAUAGUACGGACGCAAGUUUGAAACUUGAAGAAAUUGACGGAAGGACACCACAAG